rnacentral:rRNA from 1 species
UACGGAGGGUGCGAGCGUUGUCCGGAAUCACUGGGCGUAAGGCGCGUAGCGGCCUGGUAAGUAGGGGGUGAAAUCCUGCGGCUUAACCGCAGGGCUGCCUUCUAAACUGUCAGGCUUGAGCACGGUAGAGGCAGAUGGAAUUCCCGGUGUAGCGGUGGAAUGCGUAGAGAUCGGGAAGAACAUCAGUGGCGAAGGCGGUCUGCUGGGCCGCAACUGACACUCAUGGACGAAAGCUAGGGGAGCGAAUGGG